GUAGAGGCGAUUGAACAGGGAAGAGCACAAAAUGUAAAUCUCAGCGGUAACGCUGCGAAUUGUAGUCUCAAGUUGCAUUACCAGCUUAGUCGUAAGGUAAAUUCUUCUGGAGUGAAGAACCACAGAGGGUGAGAGUCCCGUAUGUCUUACGAUACUAGGUGCACGGUGUGUACACAAAGAGUCGCGCUCCUUGGGAAUGGAGCGCUAAGUGGGUGGUAAAUGUCAUCCAAUGCUAAAUAUUGGUGGGAGACCGAUAGCGAACAAGUACCGUGAGGGAAAGAUGAAAAGAACUUUGAAAAGAGAGUUAAAAGUGUCUGAAAUUGCUGGUAGGGAAGCGGAUCGUAUUGUCCUUGUUAAGGGAGAUGUAACGUGAGAAAGUGGACUGCUUAUGGAAACCGCAAGGGUCUGUAGGUAGAUAAGCUCAUUGUGUUGCUAUCACUCCUUUAGCUUAGUCUACGUCAGUUGUGACUGCGUGAAAACCCGGGAGGCUUCGGCUGAACGACGGCUUACGCGGAUGCAACUGAAGAGGUGAACGCC
rnacentral:rRNA from 1 species